GGAGGCCCCGCCAUUACCAUUCAUAGCCCACAGUAUCACUCAGCUAACUUGUCAACUAAUUUCCCUCUCUUAUUUUGCACCAAAGAGUAACUCAUAAGUAAAAAAAGAACGGAGAGAUGGAAAAAGGGUCGACGAAAGGGCCCCAAUAAAUUAAAUUUGAGUGGCAAGAAACAACAAAAAUGACUAACCCCAAAAAAGAAAAAAAGAUACUGAAUGCGAGUGAUGAUGAUUAGUGGUGAUACAAAAUAGGCAACUUCUAGUUCUAGAUAUGUGAAAAUUUUUCGUUAGGGUUUUUUCUUCUGCAGGGAAAAAUGGGGAGAAGGAGGGUAGAAAUAAAGAGAAUUCAAGAUAAAAAUUGUAGGCAAGUUGCUUUUUGUAAACGAAGAAAAGGUCUAAUGAAGAAAGCCAAAGAACUUUCCAUUCUUUGUGAUGUUGAUGUUGCUGUUGUUAUCAUUUCCAACCGUGGUAGGCUUCACGAAUUCUCCAGCACUGACAGUCUGACAGGGAUACUUCAACGAUACGAAAGCCAUGUCGAAGCAGAAAAAGAGAUCUCUGCAGAAAUCCAGGACGCAGAGCACUCUAAAUACUCAAGUAUGACAACGGGAGAACUGCUACAAGAAACAGAAAGACAACUUGAGGAAAAUGUUGACGGUAUCCCUGUGACUGACCUAAUCCAUUUGGAAAAUGAACUUCAAACUGCUCUUGUACAAAUCACAUCUAGAAAGACACAUUUGAUGCUUGAACGUAUUAAGGGUCUUCAUGAGAAGAGAGACUGCACAUGAUCCUCCUUAUUGCAGGAAAAACUGCUGCUAGAGGAAAAGAAACAGCUGGAGAACAAUAUGGCUAGGAUGCAGAAAAACAGAAAAGUGAAUGAGACGUCUGACCUUCCACAACAGAGAGUGACCCUGAAUUUCUUCUAGUAGUUCUCAUUGUAUUUGUCAAUAGCCAGGGGAAUAACCUGCAAAGAUUAGCAAAA